rnacentral:rRNA from 1 species
UUCCUACGGGAGGCAGCAGUGGGUAUUGGACAAUGGGGGCAACCCUGAUCCAGCAAUGCCGCGAGUGAUGAAGGCCUUCGGGUUGUAAAGCUCUUUUGUCAGGGACGAUAAUGACGGUCCUGACGAAUAAGCCCCGGCUAACUUCGUGCCAGCAGCCGCGGUAAUACGAAGGGGGCUAGCGUUGUUCGGAAUUACUGGGCGUAAAGGGCGCGUAGGCGGCCCAAUAAGUCAGAUGUGAAAGCCCCGAGCUUAACUUGGGAACGGCAUUUGAUACUGUUGGGCUAGAGAGUGAGAGAGGAAAGUGGAAUUGCGAGUGUAGAGGUGAAAUUCGUAGAUAUUCGCAAGAACACCAGUGGCGAAGGCGGCUUUCUGGCUCACAACUGACGCUAGGCGCGAAAGCGUGGGGAGCAAACAGGAUUAGAUACCCUGGUAGUCCACGCUGUAAACGAUGAAUGCUAGAUGUUGGGGAUAUAAUCUUCAGUGUCGUCGCUAACGCAUAAGCAUUCCGCCUGGGGAGUACGGUCGCAAGAUUAAAACUCAAAGGAAUUGACGGGGCCCGCAGCGUGGAGUAUGUGGUUUAAUUCGAAGCAACGGUUCUUACCAGCUCUUGACAUGUAGAUUAUGGGGAUAGAGAUAAUUCUCAGUUCGGCUGGGUCUAACACAGGUGCUCAUGGCUGUCGUCAGCUCGUGUCUGAGAUGUUGGGUUAAGUCCCCAACGAGCGCACCCUCAUUACUAGUGCCAUCAGGUUGGCUGGCACUCUAGUGAAACCCGGUGAUAACCGGAGGAAGGUGGGGAUGACGUCAAGUCCUCAUGCCCUUAUGGGCUGGGCUACACACGUACUACAAUGUGGUGCAAUAGGCAGCGACGGGGCAACCCUGAGCUAAUCCCUAAAAGCCAUCUCAGUUCGGAUUGUCCUCUGCAACUCGAGGGCAUGAAGUUGGAAUCGCUAGUAAUCGUGGAUCAGCAUGCCACGGUGAAUACGUUCCCGGGCCUU